AACGAACGCUGGCGGCAUGCCUAACACAUGCAAGUCGAACGAGACCUUCGGGUCUAGUUGCGCACGGGUGCGUAACGCGUGGGAACCUGCCCUUAGGUUCGGGAUAACUCCCCGAAGGGGGUGCUAAUACCGGAUAAUGUCUUCGGACCAAAGAUUUAUCGCCUUUGGAUGGGCCCGCGUUGGAUUAGCGAGUUGGUAGGGUAAAAGCCUACCAAGGAGACGAUCCAUAGCUGGUCGGAGAGGAGGAUCAGCCACACUGGGACUGCGACACGGGCCAGACUCCUACGGGAGGCAGGAGUGGGGAAUAUUGGACAAUGGGCGAAAGCGUGAUCAAGCAAUGCCGCGUGAGUGAUGAAGGCCUUAGGGUUGUAAAGCUCUUUUACCCGGGAUGAUAAUGACAGUACCGGGAGAAUAAGCACCGGCUAACUCCGUG
rnacentral:rRNA from 1 species